AGGCAUCUGACUUUCUAGUGACUAACUUCUGAUUGUUUCCUUGUCACGAGGUAGGCAUCUGACUUUCUGGUUUCUAGGACAAGGUCAUAGAAGCACAUGUUCGGCUGUUAUGUCUGCCGAAAGGGAAGCUGGUUCCUUCAGCCGAGGAAUCCAGAGUCAUGGACUGAAGAGCUACCGGGUUCUCAGCCUCCCAGGUCUGAAGGUGGCCAUUUUUGAACUGCCCAGUUGUUGGAACCCUGAGAAAGGGGCCAGCUACAGAACCCAACCGAGUACCAGCUGUUCUGAUUCAUCUGCCAAGACAUCAAGCAUUGCUGCACCAAAGCAGGAGGUGGCUCUACUCCAUCUGCAUUCCUAGACUGGCCUGGACAUUGCCACCCGCGUGUCCACUGCUGGUCUUGUGGUAGCAGCAGGACCAUUGCUGAGCUGGGGGCAGCUAGUGAGGAGUGGGGCCACACAUGGAGAGGUUUCUGCUUCUGGCUGACAUCUGAGUAUCAGUUGCUGACUACAGGCUGUUCUAAGUAGACUGCGAGCCCUAAACUUGCUGUGGAUGUGAACCAGUUCAGCUGAUAUGGACACCCCCUGUCUCUGCAACAGUGUCUGCUAACCAGAAGCCCCUGAUAAAUUCCCCAUUGCCUAAAUUCCUUUUUGCUUUUGACUAGCAUUUCAACCUUCUGGGGUCCCUAACUUCGUCCCAAAGUCAGCAGGAAGCAGUUUGGAAAAGAAUUUCGCCGUCCAUUUUCCCUGGUUAAAAUGCUAAGUCAAAAGGAACUCCCUUACAUGGGGAUGCCAGUAUCUAUCACUCCCUGAUGGGGAUGCUAGAGAGACAGCAAUUCCAUGAUUGGAAUUUACAAAAAAGAAAAUGGGGGAAUGAAGGAACCGGCUUCCCUUUUGGCAGCCAUAACAGCCGAACACGUGC
rnacentral:lncRNA from 1 species